GAAACCUUCAAUUAUUUGCUCCCUCUGGGGUACCGUGCAUCAUUCUUCUGAGGGUAUUUUUAGCCUACAACAAAGUUGUCUUUAUUCUGCAGUUCCUUAAUCCCUUUUUCUUCUGAUACUCUGGGAAACAAAACAGUAGCUGUUCUCAGAGGAAUGCCUGGAGAAUUACAUUAAUUCAGAAAACAAGAGAUUCACCAUGUAGUUCUGUGAUCUAAAUGGAAUGAGAAGGUCACACUGUACCUAUUCUUAAAUUGCAUCGUUUGCUUCUCCCAUUGUUACUUGCAUUUUAUGCAGACUCUUACUUGUGCCAGUUAGCUACAAAUUUGGGACUGUAGUCAGUCCACUGCUCCUCCAGAUAGGCAAAAUCUACUGCAUUAGCUCUAAUAGAGUCCUUUGCAAGCUUGACCUAACCUGGUCAGGAUCUGUUCUGAUUGAAUUGUAAAGCCUGUUAUGUCUCUUGCUGUACAUUUCUCUUGCUGCUAAAGUCUUCAUGUUUAGUCGGAUAUACUAAUUCUUCCACGAUCCUGGCCGUCUCAGCCCUACCAUCGGUCUACCCUUUGAGGUGUUUGGGAUUUAACAAAAAUGAACUACUUCUCUUGCCCAUGGAUUACCGGCAUGACAACAAGGCUCAUUAUUUUCAGAAGCUUGUGACUAUGUGGGAGAAUUUAUAUGUACUUCUGUGUGAUGAAGAAUUGGAUGCAGUCUCUUUGGAAGCUGUGCACCAACAAAAGAUGAAGAAUAGACAAGCCCACUCUUCAUCAGCUCUCUAUUUUAAUAACAUGUAACGAAGAAGGGGGAC
rnacentral:lncRNA from 1 species